CGAUGAGUAGGGCGGGACACGUGGUAUCCUGUCUGAAUAUGGGGGGACCAUCCUCCAAGGCUAAAUACUCCUGACUGACCGAUAGUGAACCAGUACCGUGAGGGAAAGGCGAAAAGAACCCCGGCGAGGGGAGUGAAAAAGAACCUGAAACCGUGUACGUACAAGCAGUGGGAGCACAGGUUUACCUGUGUGACUGCGUACCUUUUGUAUAAUGGGUCAGCGACUUAUAUUCUGUAGCAAGGUUAACCGWAUAGGGGAGCCGGAGGGAAACCGAGUCUUAACCGGGCGUUAAGUUGCAGGGUAUAGACCCGAAACCCGGUGAUCUAGCCAUGGGCAGGUUGAAGGUUGGGUAACACUAACUGGAGGACCGAACCGACUAAUGUUGAAAAAUUAGCGGAUGACCUGUGGCUGGGGGUGAAAGGCCAAUCAAACCGGGAGAUAGCUGGUUCUCCCCGAAAGCUAUUUAGGUAGCGCCUCGUGAAUUCAUCUCCGGGGGUAGAGCACUGUUUCGG
rnacentral:rRNA from 1 species